rnacentral:sRNA from 1 species
UGCUCCUUUGCUGUUUAGUGUUGGCAGAUGCUGGACCCCUGCUUGGCGGUCCAGUCUUGAACUCCGGACUUCUCCCCUCCCCCGAUGGAAGUCCGGAGUUUUUUUAUGCC